rnacentral:rRNA from 1 species
CAGCCGUAAACAAUGUGCGUUAGGUGUGUCGGUAACCACGCGUUACUGAUGCGCCGAAGAGAAAUCGUGAGACGCACCACCUGGGAAGUACGGUCGCAAGGCUGAAACUUAAAGGAAUUGGCGGGGAGCACCACAACAGGUGGAGCCUGCGGUUUAAUUGGAUUCAACGCCGGACAUCUCACCGGAUAAGACAGCUGAAUGAUUGUCAAUCUGAAGGUUUUACAUGACUAGCUGAGAGGAGGUGCAUGGCGUCAGUGACU